ACUUUAUGGAAACAGGCGGAAACAAAAGUUCAAGCUAAAAUCCGUAAGAUGAAGGUCACAAAGAAAGUCAACCAUCAUUACAAAAUCAAUGGAAAGAGGAAGACCGCCAAAGAACAGAAAAUGUUUCAACGUGCGCAAGAGUUGCGGUGGCGGGCAGAGGACUACCACAAAUGCAAAAUCACCCCCUCUGCAAGAAAGCCUCUUUGCAACUGGCUCUGUGCUCAAGCCCUGCAGAGGGAGAUGGCAGAGAGGAAGGCUGCCUACAAGCAUCACAGUCCCAUCCCUGUUGGUAACCGUGUUGUGCAAAAACACCUUCAUCCCCACCCAGUGGGGCCCCUGAUCUAAUAUUCAAAGUGUCAGAGGUUCCAUAUUUGUAAUAGCAAAUGGGCCCUGACUGUAAAUUAGUGAAGAGUGAAUGUAACUUAUUACCCACAGGGACAAUUCCAAAUGAAGGCCUUAAAUGAUGCUCAGCUAAGCUGGUUCUUGUGUGGCCUCUGUACCUUCAAAAGCUGCCGAGUCCUAUGAUUACACGUGAUGGGACUUGUACACUUGAAGUGAAACAGUUUUAAAACUUGCUUUGUUUAGAAUUCCCACCUCAUUUUUCCAUGGAC
rnacentral:lncRNA from 1 species